UACGUAGGUGGCAAGCGUUAUCCGGAAUUAUUGGGCGUAAAGAGCGCGCAGGUGGUUAAUUAAGUCUGAUGUGAAAGCCUUCGGCUUAACCGAAGAAGUGCAUCGGAAACCGGGCGACUUGAGUGCAGAAGAGGACAGUGGAACUCCAUGUGUAGCGGUGGAAUGCGUAGAUAUAUGGAAGAACACCAGUGGCGAAGGCGGCUGUCUGGUCUGCAACUGACGCUGAGGCACGAAAGUGCGGGUAUCGAACAGG
rnacentral:rRNA from 1 species